GGGGGAGAGACCCUCGACGGCCGGGCCGGCAAGAAAUACAGAUGGAAAAGAAGACACGGGUAAAAGAGAGAAGUGUUGUUCCUGCAAGCAGAGCAUCCUGUCUCCGAGACAGUGACCAAUAUUUGGAACCAUCCCUUGGCAUUGACAAUUCAGCUGGAAGUAGAACAUGUCCAGGCCAAUCUUUGGACCAAAUCCUGCUGGUAAGAAUUGUGUACCAAAGUAACUUUUUGAUGAGUUACUCCUAGUUUGCUUUAAGUAUCUCAACAAGUCAGUCUGAAGAUGUCUGCUGACACCAGGAAGGCAGAGCUUGCGCUCAGCAUAAUCACUUUCUUCCAUAUAAGUAGUAGGGAUGAUGAGGAGCAUAUUGUCAAUAAAACACAGAGGUUAUUUACAAUUCAACUUCUAAAAGCUGCCAUAAAGCAGUGAAUAGCAAUGAAUAAGUCCAAAGCCAUUCUACUUGGUUUUGGUUUCUACUUUAUUUUCCCAGAGCUCGUAUUUUCAAAGGGACAAAGCAGAGACACCCAGAGGAAAGGAAGUCUGAUUCUAAGAAGCUGUAAAAAGGCAUGCAUGGCCACAGAUCAGGGAAUAAUUUUAUGUCUCACAUGUUUUCUGACCCUACGAAGAGCAGCUUUAAAAUGUUGUUCUCUUCCGUGAAGCAGACUCCAUAGUUUACAAAAGAAGAAGGGGAGUAAUCCUGCAAAAGUAGAUCCAUAACAAAAUCUUGGUCACUGAGGCCAGAAGGACCCCUUCCCCACCCCUCUGCCUGUGGCAGGAUUGAUUUAAUUAUUCUAUAACUGUUCCUGUAGAUGGGUGUCUGGCCUUGAAUAACUCCAACAACAGUGAUUGUCCAAUGGUUCUUGGCAGCCUGUCCAACUGCUGAACAGUUCUUCUACAGUUUUGCCUAAUAUUUAACCUAAAACUUCCCUUCUGCUUCAGCCAAUUAUUAUUUGUUUCAUCCUUGUUAACUAAUGAGAAUAAUUGAUCUUUGUCCUCUUUAUAACAUUCCUUUAUGUCUCCCGUUAUUAUGUUCCCCACACUCCUCUUGCCUUUAGGCUAAAGGUGCCAAGUUAUCUUAACCUUUCCUCCUAGAUCUGAAUGCCAAACUUCUUACCAUCUUUCAUACACUCCUCUAAAUUCUUCAGUUUGUCCACGUUUUUUCAUACAGAAUUGAAUGCAGUUACUCCAGUUAUGCUUUAACCAGUGCCAAGCAGAGCGCAAUAAUUACUUCAGUAACCUUACUGACCCCAUCUAAUAACAAAGGCAAAAUGCAGCAUGUAAUUAAAAUCUAAAAAAAUAACUAUUUUUAAAAGCUAAUUGCCUUAACAAUCAGAACAUUCUCCAGCUCAGAGAACACACACUAAAGAAUUUAAAGGUUAUUGUUCAUUCAAAACAUCUUUUUCAAUUAUAUUCUGUAUAUUGUAUUCUGGGUUAUGCACAGCUUUACUCCUACUAGGAACGGUCUGUACUGCGUCUCUCACACUCCCUCCCCCUCUCUUUAUUUCCCGCAGUUUUAACUCCUAAUGGCUCAAUGGGGCCCCGUCUACACUGGGGAUGUGUGCUAAGGACUUCCCACUGUUGUGAGCCCUUCUCCAGCUCCACCAGUAUGGCACAGUACAGAACUCCCACUCAUGCUUUUAAUCCUUUAGGCUAUUACUACAUCUUCCAGUCUCACUAAUGUCAGUGGAGCAGAGCCAAUGGUGAGGCAUUUUUAGAAAGUUUCCUUUACACAGACACAGUUUUCAUCUCCUUUGCCAAGUCUGUGGUGCCCUACCUUGAACAAUCCCCUUCUCUCUGUUCACUGGCUGGUCUCUUAAAAACUCCUCUGUCCUGCAGCGAGCUGCACACUCUCUUCACAUUCACUGGCACUGUAUAUGCCCAUAUUGCUUUCUAACUGCAUGUAUGGCUGCUUUUCAUUUGUCAUGUGUUUAGGAAUGGAAAUCCUCGUCACAUCCCAGCAGAAACCAUGCAACUUCUCUAUCGUUAUGCUAACAACAGCCAUUCUUAGAAAUACAUGGAUUUCUGUAAUCCCCAAAAACAAGCAAAUUUGGCUCCAUCAACAGGAAUUGCAAACUCAGACUGCAAACCCACUUGACUAAGCAGAGACAUUUAAUUAAAUUGUCUUUCUAUUACACUGAUAAGCAAUCAAAGCUAUGACUGUUGUUAGUAGAAGUAAUAGUUUCUAUUCUUGUUGCUCCAUAGUACCUUAAUUAAAUCACAAUUGUUCUGUUGGAAAACACAUCUGUGAGCACCUCUAAGUAGAAAACAGUGAAAAAUAUUCCUAGCAAAACAAAAAUCAAUUAGUAGUGCAAUACUGUUUGGUAGAUAGGACAAAAAGGAAUUGGGUUAAGAUUGCAAUAGAAAAGUCAGGCUUGACAUAGAGAAAACCUGUCAGUGAGGCACUGAAAAAUAUUGACUGUGAAAGGAGUCUCCAGUACUGAAUUAUCUUCUAGUACAAUUGAAAUGCACAGCUGCAGGAAUGAUACAGCCAUAACUGAUUCUACCUGGAUCCAAACCAAUGAUUGAAGAUCUGUGAAGACUCUUUCAGCCCUGUUCUUCUAUGACUUUACUUUGUUCUAAAUUUUUAAAGAAUCAAGUAAAAUCAUGCUCUCAUUUACAUGCAUUUGAGCCUGUUAUAUUUUGUAAAGGUUGCAUAUUUACAAAUGAGAUCAGAAUUUGGCUUCUUAUAAUAACACAUUGUAACGUGCCAGAAAUUGUUCCAUAACAACGAAAGAGCAAAGUACCUUGCUGUAUAGGUCUUGUUCCUUAACCAAUACAUACCAUACAAGGCAAAAUAAUCCCUGCUUUUUAUAGCAAGGUCUUGUUCAAGUGUGUGUGUAAGAUCUGCUCAUAUUGCUAAGUAAAGUAACACAUCUGCACAUCCUCCACCCAGAGCAAAGGGGGCUCUGGAGGAUUGAAUGAAAUCAGACAGAAAUACCACCUGAAAACCUACAGUGUAUAAUAUCCAUUAGUUGGAGUCCAGGCAAACACAGACUUACAAGAGCCAGUGUGUUCGUGUGGUUCUUUGGCAGUUAGGUAUUUUCUUUCUUCUUUAUUUAUUACAAUUCUCUGGAUAGUGAUUAAAUUUCAUAGCUCCGUAUUUUUUUUUUCCACUUACCUUGAAAUAAGAUUUGCACACAUUUUCAUAACUAGAUUAAAAAGCUGCCAACUGGCCUUUUAAACAAUUCUCAGUGCUUUCAGAAGAGUUGUUUGUGGCUUCUUACAUAUGAGUACUUCCCUGAAGCCACUUCAGGAACUGAUCCCCUGUCCCACACAAUACAGCUUUACCCUCUCUGUCCAGGAGCAGGAAGGCAGUUCUGAUUAAAAUAUGCCAGGACACAAAAUCUCCUUUGUAUUACACCAGAAAAUUCUACAAUAAGACUCGAUUUAAAGCCUAUUUAGGUCAGAUAGAGGCUUGCCAUUAACAAAGUUAGUUUUGGGACAGGCCCUUAAAAUAUGGGUCUUAAGGACAGGAAAGCUGCCAUACACACCAUAGUUCUUAGGGAAAUCGCUGAGGUCAGCAGAGGUUUAUUGCCUUCAGCAGAUCACCGAGGUCAGCAGAUGCUCAGUGGGACAAGAAAUUUGUGCUGAUCCAAAGCUAUCAGAAAAAUGAGUAAGAAGGUGGGAAGACUCUGAAAAGUGUGUAUCCUCCCCAGAUGUCAUUCACCUGUGGGCUGUCAGUGCUGCAGCAGCUUGGAAAACCAAGCAGACAUCCCUACUGAGCCACGCUGGAUUUCACAAGUGACUAAAGAGGUCAGCACUCCCACAUCAUGUAGAAAUGGUGGCAUGAUGUGGUUUCUAUUUUUAAAUUAAAUUUAAGAUUCCAUCCCCUAAUUCACACAAAAGCUAACAAAAUAUGGUGUUUUUUUAAUUAUGUACAAAUCAGCAUUAUAAAAUAAAUUAAGUAAAUAUUUCCCUUGGCAAGAAAAUAUGAAAUACCUCAUUCUCUUAACAUGCAAGUUUUAUAUUUACAAAGCAUAAAGUGUCUCACAUUUCCAUAAUGUGUUAGUAGCAUGAAAUAUUUUUAGCUCCAAUGCCUUAAACAAAGCUGGAGUUACUGUCUGCAGUGCCCUUAAGCUAUAUGUUGUAGUCUUCACAAGACUGAAACAAAACACAUAGAGCAGAGAGCAGUAACCACAUUAAGGUUUAACACUUAUAAACACAGAAGGUUUAACACUUGGCAAACCAAAAUUCCCCUAUGACCUGAAGACAUGCAGAUCGUGACCUGAGAAUUAAGCGCUGUGUUAAGCAGUCAAGCUGUCUCCUUAAGGAAAAGACAAAAAUAGCAAAAGACUAGCUGAGCCAUGGGGUCAGCAUAUGUCAGGUGCAUCCAGGCCCAAUUCAGAGUUGAUCUGUAGCCAUCCAGGGCCAACCCUGACCUAGCCCAGCCUUUCCAGCCAGGGCUUCGUAAGCAGGAGGAUUUUCAGAGGCACUGAACACACAUUGUCCCCACUGCCCCCAGGGAAGAGGAACUUCUAAGCUAUCGUGCUUCCAAAGACACCAGAAGAGAAAAUACCACUUUUUUCCAUCCGGAAUUGGAAAGAUUCUGGUAUUAGAUGAUAGGGGAAAGACAAAGUUAAAUCACUUUACCCUGUGUAUUCCCAACUGCAAAAAUGCCCUCUCACCCUCCCUGCCUCUGCCCAAGGGUUCCUCCCUUGCAGGUGCCACAGUCCUGAAAAGUCUGGAGAUAGAGAGGAAAGAGACGGAGAAAGGGAAAUUAAAAUGUGAAACAAAGUUUUUGAACUAAAUGUUUAAAGACCUUGCUUUAAUCUGCAAGGCAGAGGAGAAGUUGCUUUGCAAAAGACGAAGGUCAGCGGAGAAACAACUCCAAACAUCAGAGAUGAAGAGGAGGCAUGCAGGGAGAAGAGGGGAGUGUGAAACAGCUGCCUGGGGGAGCUUAAAAGGGAUGCUCAGCAUGCACAAAACACUCUAAUUUUGCCAUAGCGGAUCUGCUUGUGCCAAAUUCCCACACAGAAAAAUCUCAAGGACAUGAGAUUGACCUGGGUAUCAUGAUUUUACUUUUGCUUUCUUCACUGCAAGCCGCAUUUAGCUUGUAAAUAGGUUUUGUUUUCUGAAGUACUUAUUUUAUUCCUUACAAAAUAUUUUUAAUAGUUGAUCAAUAUGAAGUUUCUCCAUGAAGUUACAAUACAAUUCCUGCUGGAUUAAAAUUGGACAUUUCUCCAUUUAUUGGGACAUUGCCAAAUGCUGUUACAAGGAACGCUCAACUCUAAUGAACUUUUAUUCAGGGUCCCAAGGUGCUCGUUACAGAGAGGUGUAUGUAUGCAUAUAUAUAUGUUAAAUUAGGCAACAAAAGAAUCCCAAGCUGCAUAAGACCUGCUUAAAAAGCAGAAUUUCCAAUCUGGAGGGAAUCUUGAUAUUUCAACUUUCAUUUCCGUCCUGAAACAGGCCAAGAAAUCAAAAUAUCAAUGAAAUAAAUUGGUGGAACCCAAAGUUCAGAGUAAUUUAGGUUUGGAAAUGUAUAUAGACAAAAUGCUGAUGCUUCCAAUUGAAAAUAUAAUGGUCCCAGGUUGAAAAAUCCUGGAAUACGAUCCUCGUCUCACAUGGAUAAAAAUCAAGAAUAAUUCUGCUAGAAAUCCAUGAAGUUACACUGCUGUAAGUCUUCACACGGGUAAUAAAAAUACCCAGAAUUACAAGCAUUUUAUAAAGCCAAGAGCUUUGGAAAGUGCUACACUUUCAAGCUUCGGGGCAUAAAGCAACCUAGGAAUUAGGAGGAAAGUUUCAUGGCUCAUCCCUGCUGCUGCGAUGCUGGAGGCCAGGCAGUUGCACAGCCUCACCGGGGCGACGGGGAGCAUGGCUGACAGCCGCUCAGGCUAAAUGCAGGAGCAGCGAGCAGCUAUAGCCUCUUUAAUUUAGCAAAAGCUGGAAUCGUGUCUCAGAUCACAUGUGGGAUAGUGGAUACAGCUCAGGAAUGGCAGGGUCCGAGCUGUCUGCUGGGCUCUCAAGCAGCUGUCAGACCCAGCAGAAGGCAGCAGGCUGCUCUGCAGCUCUCCACGAAUGCAGGAGACACAGUGGGAAAUACUAGCUGUCAGAGGCAGCCAGGCAAUCUCUGGCAAUGCAGUCCCGAGGAAAACGGAGACAAACUGUCUGCGCAGCACGCCGAAUGCAGAGGGCUUGGACCUGUGAGCAGAGAAACUCUCUCUGGAUGUUUGACUCCUCUCCAGAGUCCAGGAAAUGAGAAUUUAGAUAUAUUCCUUGCGAGUGUCAUGAAGUGUCAUCGAAGAAACAUGCCAUUCCACUAUCAGCUGCUCCUUGAGCUGAAGACAACUCAAAAAACUCCUCCUGUUUGUUUUGUUUUGAGUUUUUUUCGGUUUGUUUUUUAAACAAGAUUCUUUCAAAAGGCCACAGCCUUCAGGCCACAAGCUAAUCUUUAACUGCCCACUUAAUUUUUCUGGGCCAUCUGGCACCGACCAUUGCUGGAAGCUGUUGCUUUGUUGAAAAAAAACAUGGACAUUCCCCUGCAAAGUUGUUUCCCCAGAGGACUCGGGGGUGGCUGGGGCUCUGGGCAAGGCAGGCAGCUCUUUGCAUCACCAGAGAGCCAAGGCCACCAAAAUCACCAGCUGGUUUCUGCCAAAAACACAGAAAUUGAUACAAGGUUCUACUGCUAUCACUUCUAAAGGGGGAAGCAGGUAUGCACAGACUUUCUGCCCAGUUUCCACUGUCUGUUCUGAAGAUCAUCCCCACGCCUGGAGCAGCAGAAUUACAGCAGUGGGAAGCUGUGGUCUAGUCACCACUGGGCCUCAAAUCUGGCAUAUGAUAAACACUUGGAGCCCUGCAAAGCUCAGAGCUGUGCUUUUGCAUCCAAGGUCUAUGUUAAUUUGUCCCAAAUCUAGUCAGUCUAACUUCUGAACAUGACUGCAGCUGGUGUUCCUAGAAGCUGGUUAGGGAGAGAGACUAAAGCCUCAGAGUGCCUCAUCUGCAGGCACCGAUUUAGGGCUCAACGCUGGGACUAACCCACAGAUCUUAUUUUUUUAAAAAUUGAGAUCCCCAUCUGAUCAUUUGAAAUAUGCUAAUGCUCUGAAUAUUAGAUCAUAAAGUACAAGAAAUAGCUUAGGGAAAUUAAUGGCCUUACUUUAAAUUUGAGAUUUUUUUAAAGGGAUUUAAAAAAUAAAAGAACAAAAAUUACAUUUUGUGGAGAAACUAACAUACAUGUCCAAGAAAGAAUGCAGAAUUCAGUGAAGCAAGAAUUUUCCAGAUAACUUCAGAACUGAGCUGAGAAAAGCUACCAAACUUCCUGAAGAAAGUGGCUUUGAAGUGAUUUUCACCCAACUAAAUUAUGUCACCAUCUGAGUGAGAGAAUGGAAAGGAAAGGUCAGUCAAAAAGAUUCCCAUGGAAUGGCUGGCAUCGUUCAUUCCUGCCUUAUUUCCUGCUCCCGUUUCAGUAGCCACCUUCCUGAGCUGUCCCCAUCCUACAAGUCUCCUCUAGGCCAAAGAGCAAUUUCUGUAAGGUCAAGCACACUGGAAUUGCAACAAAGAUCAAACUAUGUCUUUGAAAUCUCCCACAAAAUAUGGCCAGUAUUUUCCACACAAUUCUACCAAAACUUUCCAAAUCUCAGGCUAGCACCUCAGCUUUAAUAUUACUUCUCUUGCCUAGACUAGGAAAUAACAUCCAUUUCAGGAAUUAUUGAGAAAGCUAGAAAAUCUGGAAUGAAUGAAAUAACUUGCAAUCAGGACAAAAAGAAAAAAGUCCAACUUCAGAAACCAGCUGGAUGGAGCCAAAAUUUAAGGCAAUGGUAUUUAUUGAAUAAAAGGAAAGUCUGAACUAAUCUCUCACCCAAAACCUAACCACAGCCUCUGGACUCAACAGGGUCAGGAUAUUUUCCCAUAGUAUCAACACCGCAACUGGAACUGGGAAGAACCAUGACUGUCAAAGAAAACACAAAUUUUCAUUCAGUUUCCAAUACAACUUUCAUAUCAAAGUGAUACUUACACUUCAGUAAAAUAUUUUGAUCUUUGUGAUGCUUAACUGAAUGGAAUCAUCACAUCUUCAGAGCUGUGCACAAUGAGAACCUAAAUUCUGAAUGCUCGUUGCUGGAAAGAUUGCUUGCUAUUUUUAUUCUAGUUAUUUUCUGAUUUAAGAAGAAAGUUGAAUUUACUCUGUUGAAACCAAAAGAAAUGUUGUUUAAAGGUAUGGCAAGAUAUACAUAUAAAAUAUGAUCUUAAUGGAAUACAUACAACAGUCGUUACAGUAACCUGAUGAGUUCCAGAAGUGGACUUGAUACAGUACAGCAAAGGCAACCAUCCUGGUAGGUAUGUUAUGCCAAAAUAGCAGAGGUUUCAAGAAAUAAAAACAUCUGAUCAAAAAAAAAAAAAAAAAAAAACAUAGGGAGGGAAAAUACAAGGUAUGCACAGAGCAAAUGGAGAUUGCAUUAGAGAACAAAAUAAUUUAGUAAAAAGCACAAUUAGUCUUGCAGGUUUGCAUGCUGAAGUUUCUAAGCCUGAGUUCCUGAGCGGUGAUGUGCAAACCACCAACAACCAGUAAAUCUUUGGUGGCUGCCCACUGUCAGCUGGCUGGCUAUUGCCUUUCUCAUCCCAGUCUGUUACAUCACACUGAAGAUGUAUUUAAUGGUUGUCAGACUUAACAAAGCAACUACUAUCAUUGGUAUUUACAAAACUGCACAUGGAAAAUAAAUCAGAUAAACAGUAAAAACUUGUUUCACUUCUCCACCUAUAUUGAGAUACAGAGAUGUCCAUGUUAAAAAAUAAAAAAGAAAGGGUCUCUCUCUUGUCUGUUCAAAAACUUUGCAUUUGCGAAAUUUGCACCAGCAAGAUUGAGCGGUCAACUGGAGACCAAACCACAGCUGAUAUAUCAGUCAAUGCAGCAUUUAAAAAGAGUUCACAAAGGAAAAAGUAAUUUUGACUCCUGGCUUAAAGAAAUUCCUGGCAAAGGCAGAAACUAUGCUAGACCCCCAAAUAACCAAACACCCAUCUACUGCAUAUGGAAAUUAUUCUGCCACCAUUUUACUGCUCCAGCAGAGGUGGUGCAUGGCCCUUUCGAAGCUUUGGCUCUUUUCAAAGGCUAUUAUUCUAAAUGUUUUAAUACUGGGAACUGCAUGAAGCUGGCAAUUACGGAAUUAGAGUUCAGUGAGGGGAAUGUCACUUUGAAAUCAUUUAGCUCAGUUCAUUUCCUUUUCAAGCGCAAUAGAAAGCAGAUGGAGCAGGGAGGGCCAACAUGCCACAGAAGAACUCCCCAGGCCUUGGCCAGCACUCUCCUCCCCAAGACUAACAGAGGGGUCACCAAAUCCUCACAGAGAUAUUAUCCUUUGAGAGAAGCACAUGAUAGAAUUCAGCCAGGAUCCUGGUCUUUGGAGCAAGUCGCCUCACUCCUAGGUUUGUCUUACAUAUUGAACAUGAGACCUAAAUUGCCAACAAGGUCAACAGGGACAAAAAGCUCAUGCUGUAAGGUCAGUGCAGGGAAGCCAAAGAGAGGCCAGAGGAGCACAGCAGGAAGAUUAAGUGCUUUGGGAAAGAGAGCCUUAAGAGAGAAAGAGGCCUCCAAACAGUUGUCUACUAUGAAGGAAAGGUUGUUACCAAAAGAAAGCUUUGCCAUAUGCAGCAAGAGCUGAACAACAAAUUGUAAGCUUGACUUGCUGCAAGGAUACAUUGAGGUAAAAAAUGAGUAGGAAAAAAA